rnacentral:rRNA from 1 species
AUGAUGAUACUCUGCUGGAACUGCCGGGGUUUGGGCCACCCCGAAACAGUUCGGGAACUCGUGUGCCUAGUGCGCACACACCGCCCCUCUGUCGUGUUCAUCUCGGAGACACGACAGUGUAAAGAGAGCGUUAUGAAAAUAAGAGGGAGGCUAGGCCUCAAGCACUGUAUCACCCAUGAUGGUUUCGGCAAAGGUGCCGGCAUCGCCCUAUUUUGGGACGAUAGCGUUGAAAUAAACUUGCUCUCUUAUGGACCAUGUUACAUUGAUGUGCACAUUCGAAAUGAUCCAAAUGGCUUGUUUUGGCGAGGUACCUUUGUGUAUGUCGAGCCGAAAGCCCAUGAGAGGCAUCACAUGUGGAGUUUACUUAGAAGAAUAAAACACAAUUCAGUGAAACCAUGGGUGAUGAUUGGGGAUUUUAACGAGACCAUGUGGCAAGGAGAACACUUUUCAGCAGCGAAACGAUCUGAGAGAUAUAUGAGAAAUUUCAGAGAUGUCUUGGGGUGGUGUGAUCUGCAUGACCUUGGAUAUAGGGGUCCAGACUGGACUUUUGAUAACAAAUAA